GCCAGCAAUCCACAAAAUCAACACCAAACCAGGAGAGGGGUGAGGACGGAACACGGAGCCCAAACCAGUGACAAACUGCUGUACUGGCAACAGCAGAACCAAACAGAACUUCAAGCCUGCCUGCGGUCCAAUUCGGGGUGGGGGCUGUGAGAACGGCCGGAGUCUCACAGGAGGAGGAUAAGGAUGCUGGCUCUAGAGCGCGGGGCAGCGGGGAGGAAAGCAGCUGACAGUUGCACGCACAGCUGACGCUCUGGACACUGCGCUGCACGGCCCCGAAGCAAGGACACCUCGGCAGCAACAAGCACACCAUGCACAGAAUCUUGGUUCCUCUCUACCACUUCCCACCGAGAGGACUGAGGCUCCUGGAAGAGAGAGAACCAAUUCCAGGGUGUGCCAGAUUCCACAUAUUAUCUACUGGAGCUGUAAAGAUACCCAACAAUGGUGAAAUACUAAGAAAAAGGAAGGGAAAAUCCUCUCUGAACACGACUCUGCCCAAGAUCUGGACCCAGAGACCGCGUCCUCUCCUCGAGAACUGCAUCAGGGCCAGCGCAACACUGUCAACACCAAAUGGAUUCCCAAAGAUGGGAUGCGUCUUCUGUCCAGGAAACUUGCCACAGCAAACACAGCCCUGGGCCUGGGACCCACAACAGAGGUCAGACCCCCAUAGAACGUGAUUUCCAGAGAAGACACAGCAAGCUGAGAAAUGAAACAGGUGUGAAAACAACACUGUGGUUAUGUAAGGAUGCCUUCUGCGUUUUUACAAGGUACAUCCUCUGAGUUGAGAAGUGGAAGUUUCGCGGCCUCUAUGGUGUGCUCCAAAAUACCACAGCAACAAAAAAAAAAAAAGGAAAAGGAAGAGAAGGAACGAACAAGAUAGGAACCAUGUGGCAAAAUCUUGACCAUGAUCAUGGAAUUGAAACAAGAACCAUUUUAAAAGCUCUUGUAUUGAAGGAGUAAGGGAACAAAAUGACCGGAGCCAAGGAGGCACAGAGCCAUGAUCUCUGACUGGAGGGGACGAGGCUGGGAGAUGGCACCCACUUCACAUUGACUGGGACAGCCAUGGUCAAAAAGAUGAGCCAAAACAAAAACAAGUGCUGGCAAGGAUGCGGAGAAGCUGAAACCCUCACGCGUUGCUGGCGGAAAUGCAAAAUGACGUGGCUACUGUGGAAAACGGUUUGGUGGUUCCUCAGAAAGUUAAAGAAAGAAUUCCCACAUGACUCAGCGAUUUACUCCUGGGUGUACACUCCAAAGACUGAAAAGAGACACUCAAACAGAUGCUUGUACACAAACAUUCAGAGCAGCACUAUUCACAACAGUCACAAGAUGGAAAAAACUCACAUGUUCAUCAGCAGAUGAAUAAACAAAAUGUGGUCCAUGCAGACGAGGGAAGAUCACUCAGCCAGAGAAAGAAAUGAGGCUCUGCCACAGGCCAUCGCGCAGAUGAACCUUGAGAACGUUACGCAGAGUGAGAUGCGCCAGGCACAAAAUGACAAAUCAGUCUACUUACAUGAAACACCUACUUUAGGCAAAUUCAUAGAGACAAAAAAAGGAAAGGAGAGUUACUGCUUAAUAGGUACAGAGUUUCUGCUUGGGGUGGCGAGAAUGUUUUACAAACAGGCAAUGAUGAUGGCAACACCGUAAACGUACUUGUGCCACCAAAAGUGGGCUUAAAAAUGGCUGAGGGGCACCUGGGUAGCUCAGCCGGUUAAGCUUCUGCUCUUGAUUUCGGCUCAGGUCCUGAUCUCAAGGUUAGUGAGUCUGAGCCCCGAACUGGAAUUCUCUCUCUCCCCCUCUCUCUGCCCCUCCACUGCUCACGCAUGCUCUCUCUCCCUCAAAAAUAAAUAAACUUUAAAAAAUGGCUGAAAUGAUAAGACUUAUGUUUAAGCAUAUUUUACCACAAUAAAAAAGAAAGACGCGGAAAAAGAUUGAGGGGUGUGCCAGGAUAACUCUAUCUAUACAAUCGGGGAUUCUUUAACAAAGUCAAUGCAAGUCUUAGAAAGGACUCCUUUACAAGGAGAGAUGUAAUGUGUAUACAAUACAAAAUCAGAAUAUAACACUUAUGUAUUUAAAAAUGAGAUUACCAUACCAGUGUUGAAAGCAGGACGUCAUAAACUACAUUGUUUAAAAGAGAUAUAUCAGUCUGAUGUGGAUAGCUGGAUUAUGGUUGUCGGAGUGGUAGGGCAUCUGGCGGGCAACCUAAUCUCAAAUGGCUCAUGAAAAAAAAUCUCUUUUAUCAUACUUGCAACUUUCCUUACAUUAAGUUUGAAAGUAUUUCAAAAGAAGAAGAAAAGCAGUUCCAUAGACAGAGAAAACACAACACCUACAAAGACUGACUACACGGUUUUGGUGGGCUCGAAUACAUCUGCAUAAAACUCCCUAAGAGAGAAAUCUGAAGGGAUGUGUAUCAAAUCAUCGUAGAAGCUGUGGGGACACUGUCGAGUAAGAAAGGGACACACAGGGACACAUAGGGCAGAUCCUGCCUGAACAGGAUUUGAUCUUCAAAAGGAAAAUUCCU